ACUCCUACGGGAGGCAGCAGUGGGGAAUUUUCCGCAAUGGGCGAAAGCCUGACGGAGCAAUACCGCGUGCGGGAGGAAGGCCCUUGGGUCGUAAACCGCUUUUCUUAGGGAAGAAACCUGACGGUACCUAAGGAAUAAGCCUCGGCUAACUCCGUGCCAGCAGCCGCGGUAAUACGGAGGAGGCAAGCGUUAUCCGGAAUUAUUGGGCGUAAAGAGUCCGUAGGUGGUUCAUCAAGUCUGCGGUUAAAGAGUGCAGCUCAACUGCAUAAAGGCCGUGGAAACUGUUGAACUAGAGUAUGGUAGGGGUAGGGGGAAUUCCCAGUGUAGCGGUGAAAUGCGUAGAGAUUGGGAAGAACACCGGUGGCGAAAGCGCCCUGCUGGGCCAUAACUGACACUGAGGGACGAAAGCUAGGGUAGCGAAUGGGAUUAGAUACCCCAGUAGUCCUAGCCGUAAACGAUGGAAACUAGGCGUAGCUUGUAUCGACCCGAGCUGUGCCGAAGCUAACGCGUUAAGUUUCCCGCCUGGGGAGUACGCACGCAAGUGUGAAACUCAAAGGAAUUGACGGGGGCCCGCACAAGCGGUGGAGUAUGUGGUUUAAUUCGAUGCAACGCGAAGAACCUUACCAAGGCUUGACAUCCCGCGAAUCCCGGUGAAAGUCGGGAGUGCCUUAGGGAGCGCGGAGACAGGUGGUGCAUGGCUGUCGUCAGCUCGUGUCGUGAGAUGUUGGGUUAAGUCCCGCAACGAGCGCAACCCUCGUCCUUAGUUGCCAGCAUUAAGUUGGGCACUCUAGGGAGACUGCCGGUGACAAACCGGAGGAAGGUGAGGAUGACGUCAAGUCAGCAUGCCCCUUACGUCUUGGGCUACACACGUACUACAAUGGUUGGGACAAAGGGCAGCAAGCUCGCGAGAGUAAGCGAAUCUCAUCAAACCCAGCCUCAGUUCAGAUUGCAGGCUGCAACUCGCCUGCAUGAAGUAGGAAUCGCUAGUAAUCGCAGGUCAGCAUACUGCGGUGAAUCCGUUCCCGGGCCUUGUACACACCGCCCGUCACA
rnacentral:rRNA from 1 species